CUGCUCUGGGACAUGAACCCGUGUCCCCUGCAUCGGCAGGCAGACUCUCAACCACUGCGCCACCAGGGAAGCCCAACUGGAUGAUUUUUUAAAGCUGAAGUAUGUAGCUUAUAUCUAACCAAGGACAAAGCGCUAAAAUAUGAAAACCAAGAGAAAAGGUAGAAUAUUUCACUACUUUUGUGUUGCUCAAUUAUUCACAGAAAUUAUUUGGGGUGAUAAUAGCAUUUUCUGUCCUAUUUUAUUUUAUUUUAUUUUAAAUUUUUAUUGGAGUAUCGUUGAUUUACAAUGCUGUGUUAGUUUCAGGUGUACAGCAAAGUGAGUCAGUUAUACAUAUACAUAUAUCGACUCUAUUGUAUUUUAAAUAGUCUAAAUGUGACUCUGAGUUUUGAAUUGAGAUUGAGUUUCAGACUCAAUCUACCUUGUGUAAAAUACUGUACUUGGCCACCUGAUGGAGAUGGGGUCCAUGCACAGACAUCUCACUGUCUGGCAUAGAAGAUCACCCGUAUAGUUGAUUCAGAGUUAACAACAAUAAGACAGAAAUAGAAGAGGUGACUUAAUUCAAGCCAGCAGGUGACAUGUGGCCAUAUGAAUGAUACGGUGAUAUUGAUAUUGAUAAACUGAUACUGAUAAACUGAUAUUGUUUAUCAGUCAGUUAGGCUUUGUAAGGAAGGUAGGAUCAUUCUAGAUGCAGUAGCCUGAAGAUGGAAGCUACCCUGUAGGUGUUGCAUUCUUAUUUACCAGCCAUGUUGUCAACAGCAAAAAAGUCAUUAUCAUUUCAUUGAUGGAAAUUGCCACAGAACAGAUCACUUAGUAAGGUGGGUCUGAAGUGAACCAGGAACAAAAUGCGUGUAUUAACAUUCAGUGUAAUGUUGCACCAACAACAGCUAAAGCAACGACGUCCAAUUUGAAUGAGGCAAGAGGAAGCUGGAUCACCAUUGAAUUAAUGUCAGUGGUGCUUUGCAACUCACCGACUCCCAAGCCACUCUGUGGGUGAGGACCUGAAAUUGCUAACAAACUUUAGGGGAGGUUUAAAGGAAGGUGACCAGCCUCUGUACAGAGUGUUGAGCAUUUCCUGCGUCUAACUUUUUAAGUAUACAUCUUCCCAUUUGACAAAAUCGGAUUUUACAUACGCCCUAACAAAUGUCCAGUUGGUGCUAACAAAUUAGGAAAUCAUGCCUAUAUUCACACUUAAAAAUUAAACAAAAAUGUUUUAAGUGUUAAAAUUUGACAGUUGCCUACAAAAGAGCUGGAGACAAAGAAGUAGGGUGACCAACCGUCACAGUUUGUCUAGGACCAAGUGAUGUCCCAGGACACAAGACUUUCAGAGCUAACACUGGGGCAGUCACGGGAAAACCAGGCCGGCUCAUCACCCUACAGAGGAAUCAUUUGGAGAGCCCAGACAUGCCGAGGAGAUGCUGAGUGGGAGAAAGCUGUCAGGUGGGAGAGAGUGCCUACUUCAAGACAGGAUUCCAACCUGAUGGUUUUCUAAGACAAGCUUCUCACUGGAAAAGGCCAAAGGCAAGCAGGUCCCCACCUCUGGCCUGCAGAGUCUUGAAAUGAUUGAAAUGGACAUCCUUCAUCCUCCACGGCUCACUUACCUUCCAAGAGGACAUUUUACAAACCUCUGAUGGGGAUUGUGGAGGCAAACUGGAGACAACUGCCCAAAUCUUGCCUAGCCCGUGGACGAUGCUUUAAGCGGCUGGGGCCAUUGGAGGUUUCGAGAAGCUUUAAAAACUGACAUAACCCUCCAUAAAUAGUUCCAUAUCUAACCCAACUUAAAUAGAUGUAG